AGGCGGCGUGGUGUAGUGGGUAACACAUCAGUCCGGUCAACAGUUAAGAUGGUGGUUCGAUCCCAGCCGUCGACAU